rnacentral:piRNA from 1 species
UAAUUCUGAAAUUGUUUGUCACUGCAGC